UACGGAGGGUGCAAGCGUUAUCCGGAUUCACUGGGUUUAAAGGGUGCGUAGGUGGGCUAGUAAGUCCGUGGUGAAAUCUCCAAGCUUAACUUGGAAACUGCCGUGGAUACUAUUAGUCUUGAAUAUCGUGGAGGUAAGCGGAAUAUGUCAUGUAGCGGUGAAAUGCUUAGAUAUGACAUAGAACACCGAUAGCGAAGGCAGCUUGCUACACGAUAAUUGACACUGAGGCACGAAAGCGUGGGGAUCAAACAGG
rnacentral:misc_RNA from 1 species